CGGGUUUUGGCUCAGCCAAAUUUCUCGGGCUCGAGGGGGGAGGGGACGGGAUGUGCGAACCAAUUAACGGGGCUCUGGCGCGCUAAUUAAUUGGCCGACAUGAAUAAAUUAAUUUUGCGCCCAUGCACCCAUUAAUUGGGUGCCCAUGCACGAAAUAGCUGUGAACUCACGCGUGACGUAAUCGGGCAUUCACGCGGAAAUUAAUUGGGAGCGCGCGCAUGACGUCAUUGGGCGACCGUGCAUAAAUUAAUUGGGGGGGAGCCGUGCGUAAAUUAAUUGGGCGCCCAGGUGUGACGCCAAGGUUUGGGAAUCUUUAUUAAUCAAAUCCAUAAUUCUCCUUUCAGGCCACUUGGGGGUGCGAUCCAGAGGGGGGGAAAAAGCUCGGUAAAUUAGACUUAAUUAACAUUUAAUUAAUGCGUUUGGCGGCUUUCUGUGUUCCCAUGCAGCGCCCUGGAUCUGCCUGCAGGAGAGGCGCCAGAAAUGGAGCAGGUCGGGCCGGAUUCCCGCCUGGCAGACAGCUGGGAACAGAGGGAAAACAGCGGCAGCCGCUCCUGGAAAUUCCAAAGGGCCGCAGCGGGAUGGGAGAGGGAUGCGGGGCCGGGAGCGUCUCCCUGGAAACCGCAGCGUGGGAGACGAGGAGCGGAUCCGACCCUCCCUCCUUCCUCUCUAAUUCCCUCCUCAUCUCCCUUGGGAUGAAGCCGAGCGCCCCCUCCCCGCCCCAAAGCUCGGCUUUUGUGGGUUUGUGACACUCGGCCUUAGAAAAAGCCCGGGUUUAACUCAGCUGUGACUUAUGGGGAUGGUGGGGAUGCCAUGGAGGGGGAGGGAAGGAGGUCACGGGAAGGGAAUCCUCGGGAAAAGCAGAGCGGGAGGGAAAAUAAAAAAUCCUCGGAUGUCAUUUUAUGCUUUUGGU
rnacentral:lncRNA from 12 species